UACGGAGGGUGCAAGCGUUGCUCGGAAUCAUUGGGCGUAAAGCGCACGUAGGUGGCUUGUUAAGUCGGGUGUGAAAUCCCUGGGCUCAACCCAGGAAGUGCACUCGAAACUGGCGAGCUUGAGUACUGAAGAGGGUCGCGGAAUUCCCGGUGUAGAGGUGAAAUGCGUAGAGAUCUGGAGGAAUACCGGUGGCGAAGGCGGCCCCCUGGACAAAGACUGACGCUCAGGUGCGAAAGCGUGGGGAGCAAACAGG
rnacentral:rRNA from 1 species